rnacentral:rRNA from 1 species
GAUGAACGCUGGCGGCGUGCCUAAUACAUGCAAGUCGAGCGAACGGACGAGAAGCUUGCUUUUCCGAUGUUAGCGGCGGGCGGGUGAGUAACACGUGGAUAACCUACCUAUAAGACUGGGAUAACUUCGGGAAACCGGAGCUAAUACCGGAUAAUAUUUUGAACCGCAUGGUUCAAAAGUGAAAGACGGUCUUGCUGUCACUUAUAGAUGGAUCCGCGCUGCAUUAGCUAGUUGGUAAGGUAACGGCUUACCAAGGCAACGAUGCAUAGCCGACCUGAGAGGGUGAUCGGCCACACUGGAACUGAGACACGGUCCAGACUCCUACGGGAGGCAGCAGUAGGGAAUCUUCCGCAAUGGGCGAAAGCCUGACGGAGCAACGCCGCGUGAGUGAUGAAGGUCUUCGGAUCGUAAAACUCUGUUAUUAGGGAAGAACAUAUGUGUAAGUAACUGUGCACAUCUUGACGGUACCUAAUCAGAAAGCCACGGCUAACUACGUG